AGUGAACGCUGGCGGUAGGCCUAACACAUGCAAGUCGAACGGCAGCACAGUAAGAGCUUGCUCUUACGGGUGGCGAGUGGCGGACGGGUGAGGAAUACAUCGGAAUCUACUUUUUCGUGGGGGAUAACGUAGGGAAACUUACGCUAAUACCGCAUACGACCUACGGGUGAAAGCAGGGGAUCUUCGGACCUUGCGCGAUUGAAUGAGCCGAUGUCGGAUUAGCUAGUUGGCGGGGUAAAGGCCCACCAAGGCGACGAUCCGUAGCUGGUCUGAGAGGAUGAUCAGCCACACUGGAACUGAGACACGGUCCAGGCUCCUACGAGAGGCAGCAGUGGGGAAUAUUGGACAAUGGGCGCAAGCCUGAUCCAGCCAUACCGCGUGGGUGAAGAAGGCCUUCGGGUUGUAAAGCCCUUUUGUUGGGAAAGAAAAGCAGCAGGUUAAUACCCCGCUGUUCUGACAGUACCCAAAGAAUAAGCACCGGCUAACUUCGUG
rnacentral:rRNA from 1 species